rnacentral:rRNA from 1 species
AACGAACGCUGGCGGCAGGCUUAACACAUGCAAGUCGAGCGCCCCGCAAGGGGAGCGGCAGACGGGUGAGUAACGCGUGGGAAUCUACCCAUCUCUACGGAAUAACGCAUGGAAACGUGUGCUAAUACCGUAUACGUCCCUCGGGAGAAAGAUUUUUCGGAGAUGGAUGAGCCCGCGUUGGAUUAGCUAGAUGGUGGGGUAAAGGCCUACCAAGGCGACGAUCCAUAGCUGGUCUGAGAGGAUGAUCAGCCACACUGGGACUGAGGACACGGCCCAGACUCCGACGGGAGGCAGCAGUGGGGAAUAUUGGACAAUGGGCGCAAGCCUUAUCCAGCCAUGCCGCGUGAGUGGUGAAGGCCCUAGGGUUGUAAAGCUCUUUCACCGGUGAAGAUAAUGACGGUAACCGGAGAAGAAGCCCCGGCUAACUUCGUGCCAGCAGCCGCCGUAACAC